CACGGUGCUGGAUGGGAGCACUGCAGUGUGCAGCUGCAUUGCACGGUGCUGAGUGUGGCUGCAUUGCAGAGGGUGAGAGCUCUGCAGUGUGUGGUUGCAUUGCACCGUGCUGGGUGGCUGCAAUGCAGAGUGUGGGUGCAUUGCACGGUGCUGGGUGGGUGCUGGGCUCUGUGUGGUUGCAUUGCACGGUGCUGAGUGUGGCUGCAUUGCACGGUGCUGGGUGGGUGCUCUGCAGUGUGUGGUUGCAUUGCACGGUGCUGCAUGGGUGCAAUGCAGUGUGUGGCUGCAUUGCACGGUGCUGAGUGUCGCUGCAUUGCAGAGGGUGGGAGCUCUGCAGUGUGUGGUUCCAUUGCAUGGUGCUGAGUGUGGUUGCAUUGCACAGUGCUGAGUGUGGCUGCAUUGCAGAGGGUGGGAGCUCUGCAGUGUGUGGUUCCAUUGCAUGGUGCUGGGUGGAUGCUCUGCAGUGUGUGGUUGCAUGGCACAGUGCUGGGUGGGUGCAAUGCAGAGUGUGGUUGCAUUGCACGGUGCUGAGUGUGGUUGCAUUGCAUGGUGUGGAUGGGUGCUGUGCAGUGUGUGGGUGCAUUGCACGGUGCUGGGUGGGUGCUGGGCUCUGUGUGGUUGCAUUGCACAGUGCUGGGUGGGUGCAAUGCAGAGUGUGGUUGCAUUGCACGGUGCUGAGUGUGGUUGCAUUGCACGGUGCUGAGUGUGGCUGCCUUGCAUGGUGCUGGG
rnacentral:lncRNA from 1 species